AUGAUUCCUGAGAGAUUCCUCGAAGAACUCGAGGAAGACAAUGCCAGCUCUGGAGGUGAAAAAGUCAUGGAGAUUCUAAGGUGGCGUUUGGUUGUGGCUAUCCCAGGAUGGGAUAGGGAUAGCCCUUUUUCUUUGAGGGAUAGCAGUCGUUUGGAUGAGAGGAUAGUGUGGUUGAGGGCAGCCACGGUUCCUGAAUAUUCUCACGAAAAACUGGUUGAGGCUGUUCCCGAAAGUCUGGCGGAUGGUGGCAACCACCCGUGUUCGCUGCACUCCGAUCACCUCCUGCAGCCCCCAGCAUGGGUGAUUUUGGAAUGCCGACUGGACUCGGCGAGCGCCGACGGUAGGUAA
rnacentral:rRNA from 1 species